rnacentral:rRNA from 1 species
UCAGAGUUUGUCAUGGCCAGGACGAACGCUGGCGGCGCGCCUAACACAUGCAAGUCGAACGGAGUCAAGAGAAGCUUGCUUUUCUUGACUUAGUGGCGAACGGGUGAGUAACGCGUGAGUAACCUGCCCUGGAGUGGGGGACAACAGUUGGAAACGACUGCUAAUACCGCAUAAGCCCACGGCCCGGCAUCGGGCUGAGGGAAAAGGAUUUAUUCGCUUCAGGAUGGACUCGCGUCCAAUUAGCUAGUUGGUGAGGUAACGG